rnacentral:rRNA from 1 species
GACGAACGCUGGCGGCGUGCCUAAUACAUGCAAGUCGAACGCACGAAGUUGAAGAGCUUGCUCUUUAACCAAGUGAGUGGCGGACGGGUGAGUAACACGUGGGUAACCUGCCCAUUAGAGGAGGAUAACAUUCGGAAACGGAUGCUAAUACCGCAUAGUUUCAGGGAUCGCAUGAUUCUUGAAGGAAAGGUGGCUCCGGCUACCACUAAUGGAUGGACCCGCGGCGUAUUAGCUAGUUGGUGAGGUAAUGGCUCACCAAGGCAAUGAUACGUAGCCGACCUGAGAGGGUGAUCGGCCACACUGGGACUGAGACACGGCCCAGACUCCUACGGGAGGCAGCAGUAGGGAAUCUUCCGCAAUGGACGAAAGUCUGACGGAGCAACGCCGCGUGAGUGAAGAAGGUUUUCGGAUCGUAAAACUCUGUUGUUAAAGAAGAACAAGGAUGAGAGUAACUGCUCAUCCCCUGACGGUAUUUAACCAGAAAGCCACGGCUAACUACGUGCCAGCAGCCGCGGUAAUACGUAGGUGGCAAGCGUUGUCCGGAUUUAUUGGGCGUAAAGCGAGCGCAGGCGGUUCUUUAAGUCUGAUGUGAAAGCCCCCGGCUCAACCGGGGAGGGUCAUUGGAAACUGGAGAACUUGAGUGCAGAAGAGGAGAGUGGAAUUCCACGUGUAGCGGUGAAAUGCGUAGAUAUGUGGAGGAACACCAGUGGCGAAGGCGACUCUCUGGUCUGUACUGACGCUGAGGCUCGAAAGCGUGGGGGAGCAAACAGG